rnacentral:rRNA from 1 species
AUGAGAAUAAUUGAAGACUUUAGAGCUUGUCAUGAUAUUGCAAGCCUAGCUAAAAUGAUGGUUGAACUUGAAAGGCAUGUUAUGUUUCCUAUUGUUUAUCGCCUCAUUGAAUUGGCAUUGCUACUACCAGUAGCGACAUCAACUGUUGGAAGGGCCUUCUCAUCAAUGAAAAUCAUUGAGACUGAGUUGCGCAGCAAGAUGACCGAUGGUUGGCUUAAUGACUUGAUGGUUUGUUAUAUUGAGCGAGAGAUCUUCAAAAGUAUCGAUCUUGGUAAAAUUAAGCAAGACUUUCAGAAUGAGGGUAGGGCAUUGCCAUUGCCUGGGUCUUCUAGACGCCAUUGA